AGCGAACGCUGGCGGCAGGCUUAACACAUGCAAGUCGAACGCCCCGCAAGGGGAGUGGCAGACGGGUGAGUAACACGUGGGAACGUACCCUUUGGUUCGGAAUAACUUGGGGAAACUCAAGCUAAUACCGGAUAAGCCCUUAUGGGGAAAGGUUUACUGCCGAAGGAUCGGCCCGCGUCUGAUUAGCUAGUUGGUGAGGUAAUGGCUCACCAAGGCGACGAUCAGUAGCUGGGCUGAGAGGAUGAUCAGCCACACUGGGACUGAGGCACGGCCCAAGAUCCUACGGGAGGCAGCAGGGGGGAAUAUUGGACAAUGGGGGCCACCCUGGACCAGCCAUGGCGGGUGAGUGAUGAAGGCCUUAGGGUUGUAAAGCUCUUUUACCCGGGACGAUAAUGACUGUACCGGGAGAAUAAGCCCCGGCUAACUUCGUGCCAGCCGCCGCCGUAA
rnacentral:rRNA from 1 species